UUUCAGCAAGAUUUUACCCCAGUGAAAAAGGCUUGUAAUCCACAGUGAUCAGCUGAGAUGUUGUUUCACUGGAUUAUUUAAUUGGGCAUAUAAUUGAAUAAUUCUGGAUCAGCUGAGAUGUUAUUUCACUGGAUUAUUUAAUUUUAGACUUAUU